rnacentral:rRNA from 1 species
CCUGUAGACUCCUACGGGAGGCAGCAGUAGGGAAUCUUCGGCCAUGGACGGAAGUCUGACCGAGCAACGCCGCGUGAGUGAAGAAGGUUUUCGGAUCGUAAAGCUCUGUUGUAAGAGAAGAACGAGUGUGAGAGUGGAAAGUUCACACUGUGACGGUAUCUUACCAGAAAGGGACGGCUAACUACGUGCCAGCAGCCGCGGUAAUACGUAGGUCCCGAGCGUUAUCCGGAUUUAUUGGGCGUAAAGCGAGCGCAUGCGGUUAGAUAAGUCUGAAGUUAAAGGCUGUGGCUUAACCAUAGUACGCUUUGGAAACUGUUUAACUUGAGUGCAGAAGGGGGGAGUGUAAUUCCAUGUGUAGCGGUGAAAUGCAUAGAUAUAUGGAGGAACACCGGUGGCGAAAGCUGCUCUCUGGUCUGUAACUGACGCUGAGGCUCGAAAGCGUGGGGAGCAAACAGGAUUAGAUACCCUGGUAGUCCUAUC